UACGUAGGGGGCAAGCGUUGUCCGGAUUUACUGGGCGUAAAGCGCGUGUAGGCGGCUGGUCAAGCGUGGUGUGAAAUCUCCGGGCUCAACCCGGAAACUGCAUUGCGAACUGACCUAGCUGGAGUGCAGGAGAGGCAGCGGAAUUCCCGGUGUAGCGGUGAAAUGCGUAGAUAUCAGGAGGAACACCGUAUGCGAAGGCAGCUCGCUGGGACGUACUGACGCUGAGACGCGAAGCGUGGGAGCAACAGG
rnacentral:rRNA from 1 species